UACGGAGGAUCCAAGCGUUAUCCGGAUUUAUUGGGUUUAAAGGGUGCGUAGGCGGAAUUGUAAGUCAGUGGUGAAAUCUUGCAGCUUAACUGUAAAAUAGCCAUUGAUACUGCAGUUCUUGAGUACAGUUGAGGUAGGCGGAAUGUGUAAUGUAGCGGUGAAAUGCUUAGAUAUUACACAGAACACCGAUUGCGUAGGCAGCUUACUAAGUUGUAACUGACGCUGAUGCACGAAAGCGUGGGGAUCGAACAGG
rnacentral:rRNA from 1 species